CAGGGAGACAACAAAAUGUUUAAUAUUAUUAUUUUGUCACCUUAGGUCGAUCGGUAUCUCACGUUCUUAAUUUUUUAAGAAUUUCAUUUCCUAAGUUUUUCUAGGUCACACCCAUUAUUUUCCUGGGCCAUUAGCUCAGGUGGUUAGAGCGCACCCCUGAUAAGGGUGAGGUCCCUGGUUCAAGUCCAGGAUGGCCCAUAUCUCUAUGUUGGGGGUAUAGCUCAGUUGGUAGAGCGCCUGCUUUGCAAGCAGGAUGUCAGCGGUUCGAGUCCGCUUACCUCCACUGAUUACCACCUCUUACAUAAAUGUAGAAAGGAAAUUUUUGAGUUGUGAUCAUCAUUCUGAACGAAUCUAGCUUCCUAAUGAAACCAUUAAGAUGCUGGACUCAUUGAAUUAAUUUCAUUGUUUUCAGAGAACCUUGACAACUGCAUAGAUUAUUUUUUUAAAGACAAUAAGCAUCUUUUAUGAUGCAGAUUUAUUAUUGGUGCGAAUGCAUUAAUAACAAUUCUAUUAAGCUGAUGCUUCAA
rnacentral:tRNA from 1 species